GGAUUUUUAUCUUACUAGAGGUUAAACGUUAAUUUGUUUUUUUUAAUAAAAUCAUUUUUAUUAGAAGGUGUUUUUGUAUAGGUUAUAGACAAAAUUGUAAGUGUGGUAGAUUAGUAGUAUUGUGAGAGAUUGAUUGAAAUAUAAUGAAAAUAUAAUUUAUUAAAAGUAGAUUUAACUUAUUGUACCUUGUGUAUCAGGGUUUAUUAAAAAAUUUUUAUUUAUUUAAGAAUCCCGAUUUGAAGAGAGCUAAUUUUUUAUGUUAGUUAAUGUAGAAUAAUUAUUAAUAAUAAAAGAUUAGAAAUGAAAUGUUAUUCGUUCUUUAAGAUAUCUGGUUUUUUAAGAAAUGAAUUUAAUUCAGAUAUUAUUAAGUAUUUAUUUAAUUAGUUUGAAGUAGGUAUAAUUUAAUAUUAAUAUUUUGGGGGAUAAGCUUUGAAGUAUAAUUUAUAAAUAAAAUUGUAUUGAAUAUAAAUUUAGUAGGCUUAGAAUUAGCCAUCUAUUGAAGGAUGUUAUAAUUUAAUUUAUACAAAAUAAAAUUUUCAUAAAUUUUAAAUAGUUCAUUAAAAUAUUGUUUUUAAUUUUUAAAAAUUAGUAAUAAUGAUAAAAUUAGUAUAAAAAAUUGUUUGAUAUUCAAAUAUAGUGAAAGGUUGUAUUAAGGAAUUAGGCAAAUAAGUGCUCGCCUGUUUAACAAAAACAUGUCUUCUUGAAUAUAAUUUGAAGUCUGACCUGCCCGCUGAACAUUAGGUUUGAAGGGCCGCGGUAUUUUGACCGUGCAAAGGUAGCAUAAUCAUUAGUCUUUUAAUUAAAGGCUAGUAUGAAUGGUUGGACGAGGUGCUGACUGUCUCAGUGCAAAUGAAAAUAGAAUUUAACUUUUAAGUUAAAAGGCUUAAAUGAAUUUAAAGGACGAGAAGACCCUAUAGAGCUUUAUAUUUAUUAAUUAUUAUUUGUUUAGAAGAAUUUUUAAAAUAGUUUAUUUAAAUAUUUUGUUGGGGUGACAGGAAGAUAUAAAAAACUCUUUUUAGUUUAAUUACAUUGAUUUAUGAGUGAUUGAUCCAUUAUUAGUGAUUAUAAGACUAAGUUACCUUAGGGAUAACAGCGUAAUUUUUUUUGAGAGUUCUUAUCGACAAAAAAGAUUGCGACCUCGAUGUUGGAUUAAGGGUAAGUUUGGGUGUAGAUGUUCAAAAUUUAGGUCUGUUCGACCUUUGAAUCCUUACAUGAUCUGAGUUCAGACCGGUGUAAGCCAGGUCGGUUUCUAUCCUUAAUUAAAAAGUUAAUGUUUUAGUACGAAAGGACCAAGCAUUGGAAAUAAUAUUUCUUGUAUAUUGAAUGACAUUAAUUAGAU
rnacentral:rRNA from 1 species